GGAUUGUAGGCUACGACGGAAGCAUUGCAGAGUUCAUAAUCAGACGAAAGAUAGGGAUCAAGACAAUCAGAUCGUCGUAGUCAUCUAUAAACUAUGCCGACUAGGGAUUGAAUGGACUACAUUUCAGUCUUAUGAGAAUCAAGUCUUGGUUCUGGGGGAGUAUGUCGCAAGACUGAACUUAAGAAUUGACGAAGGCACCACCAGGAGUGAGCUGCGGCGUGAGUUUGACUCAACACGGGAAACUUACCAGUCCAGAUAUAGUAAAGAAUAGACAGAAUGAUAGCUCUUUCUUGAUUCUAUAGGUGGUGUGCAUGCCCGUCUUAGUUGGUGGAGUGAUUUGUCUGUUGUUCCGAUACGAACGAGACCUUAACUGCUAAUUAGUCAUCCUCAUUUUAUGGGGCACGACUUCUUAGAGGGACUAUGCAUAUCAAGUGCAUGGAAGUUUGAGGCAAUAACAAGUAAGAGAUACCCUUAUAUGUCCUGGGCUGCACGCGUGCUACACUGAUGCAUACAACAAGUGCCUAGCUAGACAUAGUAUGGCAAUCUGGAAUAUGCAUCGUGAUGGGGAUAGAUCUUUGCAAUUAUAGAUCUUGAACGAGGAAUUCCUAGUAAGUGCAAGUCAUCAUCUUGCAUUGAUUAUGUCCCUGCCCUUUGUACACACCGCCCGUCGCUCCUACCGAUACCGGGUGAUCCGGUGAACCUUUGGACCUUCAUGGAAAAAUAAGUACCCUUCUCUCCUAAAAGAGAAUGACAAUAUGC
rnacentral:rRNA from 1 species